rnacentral:rRNA from 1 species
CAGUAGCCACGGGAAUACGUAGGGUGCGAGCGUUAAUCGGAAUUACUGGGCGUAAAGCGUGCGCAGGCGGUUUUGUAAGACAGGCGUGAAAUCCCCGGGCUCAACCUGGGAAUGGCGCUUGUGACUGCAAAGCUAGAGUGCGGCAGAGGGGGAUGGAAUUCCGCGUGUAGCAGUGAAAUGCGUAGAUAUACGGAGGAACACCGAUGGCGAAGGCAAUCCCCUGGGCCUGCACUGACGCUCAUGCACGAAAGCGUGGGGAGCAAACAGGAUUAGAUACCCGGGUAGUCCCUGUCUCUUAUAA